rnacentral:rRNA from 1 species
AUUGAACGCUGGCGGCAUGCUUUACACAUGCAAGUCGAACGGUAACAGGCCGCAAGGUGCUGACGAGUGGCGGACGGGUGAGUAAUGCAUCGGAACGUGCCCAGUCGUGGGGGAUAACUACUCGAAAGAGUAGCUAAUACCGCAUACGAUCUAUGGAUGAAAGCGGGGGACCGUAAGGCCUCGCGCGAUUGGAGCGGCCGAUGUCAGAUUAGGUAGUUGGUGGGGUAAAGGCUCACCAAGCCAACGAUCUGUAGCUGGUCUGAGAGGACGACCAGCCACACUGGGACUGAGACACGGCCCAGACUCCUACGGGAGGCAGCAGUGGGGAAUUUUGGACAAAGGGCGCAAGCCUGAUCCAGCAAUGCCACGUGCAGGAAGAAGGCCUUCGGGUUGUAAACUGCUUUUGUACGGAACGAAACGGCUCUGGUUAAUACCCGGGGCUAAUGACGGUACCGUAAGAAUAAGCACCGGCUAACUACGUG